rnacentral:tRNA from 1 species
UCCCUGGUGGCUCAGACAGUAAAGCAUCUGCUUACAAUGCAGGAAACCUGGGUUCAAUUUCUGGGUUGGGAA